rnacentral:rRNA from 1 species
GAUCCUGGCUCAGGAUGAGCGCUGGCGGNGUGCUUAACACAUGCAAGUCGAGCGAAGCAAUCUAAGUGAAGUUUUCGGAUGGAUCUUAGAUUGACUGAGCGGCGGACGGGUGAGUAACGCGUGGAUAACCUGCCUCACACAGGGGGAUAACAGUUAGAAAUGACUGCUAAUACCGCAUAAGCGCACGGUACCGCAUGGUACAGUGUGAAAAACUCCGGUGGU